AGUCGAACGUGAAAGUACUUCGGUAUGAGUAAAGUGGCGCACGGGUGAGUAACACGUAGGUGACCUGCCUUUUAAUGGGGAAUAACCAGAUGAAAAUUUGGCUAAUGCCGCAUACGAAGUACAAAUCUUAAAGUAGUACUUGAAAGAAUGCCUCUGUAUAUGCAUUCGUUAAAAGAUGGGCCUGCGGAACAUUAGCUAGUUGGUGGGGUAAAGGCCUACCAAGGCAACGAUGUUUAUCCGGUCUGAGAGGAUGAUCGGACACACUGGAACUGAGACACGGUCCAGACUCCUACGGGAGGCAGCAGUGGGGAAUAUUGCGCAAUGGGGGAGACCCUGACGCAGCAACGCCGCGUGAGUGAGGAAGGACUUCGGUCUGUAAAGCUCUGUUAAUGUGGAAAAAUGGUAGCUGGUCUAAUAGGCCGGCUAUUUGAUGGUACACAUAGAGGAAGCACCGGCUAACUUCGUGCCAGCAGCCGCGGUAAUACGAAGGGUGCAAGCGUUGUUCGGAUUUAUUGGGCGUAAAGCGCGCGUAGGCGGACCUGCAAGUCAGAUGUGAAAUCUCGGGGCUCAACCUCGAAACUGCGUCUGAAACUACAGGUCUAGAAUCUCGGAGGGGGAAGGGGAAUAUCGCAUGUAGGGGUAAAAUCCGUAGAUAUGCGAUGGAACACCAGAGGCGAAGGCGCCUUCCUGGACGAGUAUUGACGCUGAGGCGCGAAAGCGUGGGGAUCAAACAGGAUUAGAUACCCUGGUAGUCCACGCUGUAAACGAUGAACACUAGAUAUU
rnacentral:rRNA from 1 species